CAAUCACGUUGGAGGAUAAAUACCUGUAAUAUGUAUGGAGAUACAAUCAGAUAUGCUGCGGCAAGAUAUAAAUGAUGUUAGCGUUGGGAAUCGACAUUUGGUUGAGAAAUUCACAGUCUUUAGUCCAAAUUCACAGUCUUUAGUCCUGAUCACAAACAUUGAAAUAGUAACACUCCUGAUGGAAAAAAAAUUCACUUCUCCUCGAUGGUGCUGUUCUUCUCGGGAAGUUGGCAGGGACGACCAAUUUUCUCCUUAUUUCUUUCUGACUCCUUCUCACGUUCGAUCUCUCUCGUGUGCGACCUUUC
rnacentral:lncRNA from 1 species